rnacentral:rRNA from 1 species
CACGUAGGGUGCGAGCGUUGUCCGGAAUUAUUGGGCGUAAAGAGCUCGUAGGCGGUGUGUCGCGUCGGCCGUGAAAACCUGCAGCUUAACUGUGGGCUUGCGGUCGAUACGGGCAUCACUGGAGUUCGGGCAGGGGAGACUGGAAUUCCUGGUGUAGCGGUGAAAUGCGCAGAUAUCAGGGAGGGAACACCGGUGGGCGAAGGCGGGUC